GAUGAACGCUGGCGGCGUGCUUAACACAUGCAAGUCGAACGGUGAAGCUCCAGCUUGCUGGAGUGGAUCAGUGGCGAACGGGUGAGUAACACGUGAGCAACCUGCCCCUGACUCUGGGAUAACAGCCGGAAACGGCUGCUAAUACCGGAUAUGCACCAUGAACGCAUGUUCUGUGGUGGGAAAGAUUUUUCGGUUGGGGAUGGGCUCGCGGCCUAUCAGCUUGUUGGUGAGGUAAUGGCUCACCAAGGCGUCGACGGGUAGCCGGCCUGAGAGGGUGACCGGCCACACUGGGACUGAGACACGGCCCAGACUCCUACGGGAGGCAGCAGUGGGGAAUAUUGCACAAUGGGCGAAAGCCUGAUGCAGCAACGCCGCGUGAGGGAUGACGGCCUUCGGGUUGUAAACCUCUUUUGGCAGGGAAGAAGCGAGAGUGACGGUACCUGCAGAAAAAGCGCCGGCUAACUACGUG
rnacentral:rRNA from 1 species